rnacentral:rRNA from 1 species
GGAUUAGGCAUGCAAGUCGAACGAGAAAGGUUUCUUCGGGAACUGAGUAAAGUGGCGAACGGGUGAGUAAUGCAUAGACAACCUGCCCUCGAGAUGGGAAUAACCUCGGGAAACUGGGGCUAAUACCCAAUAACGUCCGGCUACACAGGUAGUUGGACCAAAAAUGGCCUCUGAUUCAAGCUUUUACUCGAGGAGGGGUUUAUGUCCUAUUAGCUUGUUGGUGGGGUAACUGCCCACCAAGGCUGCGAUGGGUAGCCGACCUGAGAGGGUGACCGGCCACACUGGGACUGAGACACUGCCCAGACUCCUACGGGAGGCUGCAGUCGAGAAUCUUCCGCAAUGCGCGAAAGCGUGACGGAGCGACGCCGCGUGGGUGACUAAGGCUUUCGAGUUGUAAAACCCUGUGGUCUAUUAUGAAACACGGGUGGUGAAUAGCUAUCCCGUCUGACGUAUGUAGACUAGAAAGCACCGGCUAAAUACGUGCCAGCAGCCGCGGUAAUACGUAUGGUGCAAGCGUUGUUCGGAUUCACUGGGCAUAAAGAGCGCGUAGGCGGUCCGGCCAGUCUGAUGUGAAAGCCCUCGGCCCAACCGAGGAACUGCAUCGGAUACUUCCGGACUAGAGUGCAGGAGGGGAGAGUGGAAUUCCUGGUGGAGCGGUGAAAUGCGUAGAUAUCAGGAGGAACGCCGGUGGCGAAAGCGACUCUCUGGACUGCAACUGACGCUGAGGCGCGAAAGCCAGGGGAGCGAACGGGAUUAGAUACCCCGGUAGUCCUGGCCCUAAACGAUGGGCACUAAGUAGAGGGGUUUU